rnacentral:rRNA from 1 species
CCUACGGGCGGCAGCAGUGGGGGAUAUUGCACAAUGGGGGGAACCCUGAUGCAGCGACGCCGCGUGGGUGAAGGAGUGCUUCGGCAUGUAAAGCUCUAUCGGCAGGGAAGAAGCAAGACGGUACCUGACUAAGAAGCCCCGGCUAACUACGGGCCAGCAGCCGCGGUAAUACGUAGGGGGCGAGCGUUAUCCGGAUUCACUGGGUGUAAAGGGAGCGUAGACGGGCAUGCAAGCCAGGGGUGAAAGCCCGGGGCCCAACCCCGGUACUGCACUUGGAACUGGGCGGCUAGAGUGCGGGAGGGGCAGGCGGAAUUCCUGGUGUAGCGGUGAAAUGCGUAGAUAUCAGGAGGAACACCGGCGGCGAAGGCGGCCUGCUGGACUGCGACUGACGUUGAGGCUCGAAAGCGUGGGGAGCGAACAGGAUUAGAUACCCUUGUAGUC